AGUACGAUUGAGUGCCGAAUAAUUAUUAACUAAAGAUUUUCUCAACAGUUUUUGCUCUUCAUUUGCUUGUUUCACAUAUCGAAACUGCUGGAACCGGAGAGUAGAAACUACAAAAUACACAUACUCGCGGAUGCGUAAAAAUUUUAAAUGAGAUAUGUUAACAUGCAAUACUGCUUGACAAGCUCAAAAACUCGUCUCCCUGGUAAAUGAAUUCUUGGAUCCCAUUGUUCGAGACAAUGUUUAUGUUGAGUCAGAAGAAACUGAUGAUGGUUAGUAUGUAUAUGCUCGAAGACAUGCUGUGAAUUAAUGCUGUGCUGUUG
rnacentral:lncRNA from 1 species